CAGUCGCCGCGGUAAUACGUAGGGUGCAAGCGUUAAUCGGAAUUACUGGGCGUAAAGCGUGCGUAGGCGGUUCGUUAAGUCUGUUGUGAAAGCCCCGGGCUCAACCUGGGAAUGGCAAUGGAUACUGGCGAGCUAGAGUGUGUCAGAGGAUGGUGGAAUUCCCGGUGUAGCGGUGAAAUGCGUAGAGAUCGGGAGGAACAUCAGUGGCGAAGGCGGCCAUCUGGGACAACACUGACGCUGAGGCACGAAAGCGUGGGGAGCAAACAGGAUUAGAUACCCCAGUAGUCCCUGUCUCUUAUAC
rnacentral:rRNA from 1 species